UGGUGUCCAUCUUGUGUAAAAUAACUUCCAGUCUAGUUCAGAGGAAAAGUAUGCUGUAGUGCUUAUGUAGUGUUGAUGUCCAAUGUUAGCAACCACUUGUAAUGCCAGAAGUAUACAGCAAUGGCAAUGUUAUGUUAAAGUGGUUGCUAAGGAUCAUAGCCUUAAUUUAAAAAACAAUGUAAAAGAUAAUCCAUUCCCCUCCGUGUUGAGCAAACAUAGCAGCACUUCUCGAGAAGAACUUUCUCAGAAGCCUAGAAAGCAUUUCCUCAGAGGAACUUGGUCUCCCAAGCCCACAUGACUCCUGUGUCCCAGCCACCUCUUCCAUGCUCAUACCGAAACCAGUUUUCCAUUCCUGUUUAGUUGCCCUGGUAAUGCUUUGUCCAGUGUCAGUCAUGCCAGGGCUUGAGUUUUUAAGACCAGGGGUUUGCAUGGUCAUACAACCGACAUUGCCUUUGCCAGCCACUGCCACCAUCCCCUCCAUUGCCCCUAAGUGGGCAGCUUGAUUCCAGAGACCCUCAGGGAGCCAGGGUAAUUAGGUCCCCCAUCUGGAUUGGCCAUGUGGGUGACAAGCACUUAUCUCUGGGUUUCUUGAUUUUGCAGACUUCAAGGAAGUCCCAUGUAGAUGUUGAUGGCCAAUAACUCCAGCCUUCCCCAUAAUGGGUUGGUAGGACUCAGAUAAGAAUUCCUUUGUUUGUUGGGGGACUUUGUUUUAAGGAGGUUAGUUUUUGAGUAUGAAAAAGAAGAGGCCACUGUGGUCCUUCUGUGAGUUUGUAGAGUUCUGAACAGUGUUUUCAUCACCAGUCUUGGGAGUCUGAUCCAAUAACCAGUCUUAAGGUGUUUGUCCUACUCCUUUUGCAGGUAACUAAGUACAGAAGAAUAGAGUUCUUAUUGUAUCAAAAUAGUAAGUAGAUCCCUGAAUAUAGUUAAUAGUAGUUGACAUAUUUUCUCAAAAAAACAACAACAACAACAACCAGGAAACCCACUCCAGUAUUUACAGAUCAGCUUAUCAAGGGAAAAAAAAGUGAACGUGUACUCCACAUAUCUCUAGUUGAAUUACCAAACUUGAUGUUAUAAAGAAACCUCGGUUGUAUAGACAGGAUAUUUCUCUGUCUCUCUCUCUCUGUCUCUCUCUCUGUCUACCCUCCCCCAUCCCCUGCCCCUGCCCCGCCCCCCAUCACAAUCACUUGUCUGGUGCCAUCACCACCUUUAAGGUCUCAGAGCAGAGGAUUAUCUGUGGUCAUAAGCCAGAGGGCAUUGCAGUCAUUCCAGCAAUGCACAGACGACUGCCAUCCUGACUAACCCAAACUCACCUUCCAGGAGUGAAGACAUUUCUACUGAAUGAUCAUAAGCAUGGGACCUACCUUCACUGGACUUCUAAUGAGCCUCUGAAUCUCACAGGGGAGACAGGAUGCUUACAGACGCCUGGAGUCCCGGGAGCACUGACUAGGUAGUGUGGCCCUGAGCAGGAUCUACAGGGAGAAACAAGCUGACUUGGAAAUGGUCUAGCCUGCAGCUGGAACACAACUCUUCACAAAGGGUAAGAAGGACACCAGAAAGAGAAGGGGCCACUGAAAAUCUACAUUCCUCUCUACAGUUUGCUCUUCCAAAUACUGAAUUUUUGCAUCCUUGAGCGAAUUACAGACAAUUCCUCAUCCAACGUAAAAGUCUCACACUGACAACUGGGAGAAUGCCAUCAGCACCUCUCUCCACAACAUCAAGGCCAUCCAGAAACAAACCUUUUUAAGUCCUUCAGGAGAAGAGGAUGAGUGGCUGAUACCCAGAAAAGCGAACUCACUUUAUUGUCCUGUCUGAGUCACUGGAUAAGAACCCAAGAAGCACAGCUGGAAAUCUCUGCACAGCUGAAAAUCUAAACAGAAAUUUCAUCCAGCAAGUAGUUCUGGGAAAGCAGGAAUGGGAGUUGAAGUCUUGUUAACACAUAGGGCCCUGGGAUCUCUCUCGCCCUCUCAAAGUUACCACCUUGCCCAAAAGAUGUGGGAUUAAAGAUAAAUCAAAUACAGUAAUCAGAAUAAGUCCUGAACCUAACUUCCAAGACACAUAUGUUGACAGGCUCUCCUAUUUUUCAACCAAGCUUUCCUAUAUUUAACACAAUAAUGUUUAAGCAUAUUUGCAAAAAGAGGAAAAUGGGGCUAACUCGAUGAUUGACAGAUAAAAGGAAAGCUAGAAGAACACUCACAUUUGAUGUAGGUGUAACAGUGACAUGUAAGCACUCUAACAUAAUAAUAACUGGUAUUUUAUAAUAUUUGAGAAAAAU